rnacentral:rRNA from 1 species
UACGGGGGGGGCAAGCGUUGUUCGGAAUUACUGGGCGUAAAGGGCUCGUAGGUGGCCAACUAAGCCAGACGUGAAAUCCCUCGGCUUAACCGGGGAACUGCGUCUGAUACUGGAUGGCUUGAGUUUGGGAGAGGGACGCGGAAUUCCAGGUGUAGCGGUGAAAUGCGUAGAUAUCUGGAGGAACACCGGUGGCGAAGGCGGCGUCCUGGACCAAUACUGACACUGAGUGAGCGAAAGCCAGGGGAGCAAACGGG